CUUUUUCAUUAUAGAAUAACGAUGGAAUAAUGGGUUAAGUUUUCUUAUUAAAAUCUAAAAAAUAAAAAUGUAUAAAAAAAGGAAAGUAUUUUUUCUUUAAAAUAUUUAAUUUCUAUUUUGAUAAAGAAAAUAUUUUUUGUUAACUUCUUUUUUAAAAUAUUUUAAAUACUAAAAAAUAUAAAAAUAUUUUAUUGUAUAGAGGAGUGCAAAUUAAGCUAGAAAUGGGGGGUUGAUUAGAUCUUAAUAGAUUAAAAUUUAUUUGUACAAAAAAGGAAAAGACCCAUACCUAACAAAAGAAAGUAAUCUUUUCCUACAAAAAAGGGAAAAGAAGAGGUUACUGUUGAAAAUAUAUAGCGUAAAGAGAACUUGAGAGGGCUAAAAAGAGAACUUAAAAGGCUGAAAAGAGAAUUUGAGAGAACUGAAAAAAUAAAAAGAAAAAAAAUAAUUAUGUUUGUAAAUUCUUUAUUUUAGUAAUAAAUUUAUGUUUUUUUCUCUCUACUUAUUAACAUAAAUUUCUAUAAUUUUAAUAAAAUAUAUAAAUAUAUUAUUAAAAUAAUAUAUAAAAUUUACAUUUCUAAUUAUGUUUUAUUUUUUAAUAAAUAAAAUUAUAUUAUAUAAUAA
rnacentral:misc_RNA from 1 species